AGUGAACGCUGGCGGUAGGCCUAACACAUGCAAGUCGAACGGCAGCACAGUAAGAGCUUGCUCUUACGGGUGGCGAGUGGCGGACGGGUGAGGAAUACAUCGGAAUCUACUUUUUCGUGGGGGAUAACGUAGGGAAACUUACGCUAAUACCGCAUACGACCUACGGGUGAAAGCAGGGGAUCUUCGGACCUUGCGCGAUUGAAUGAGCCGAUGUCGGAUUAGCUAGUUGGCGGGGUAAAGGCCCACCAAGGCGACGAUCCGUAGCUUGUCUGAGAGGAUGAUUAGCCAAACUGGAACUGAGAAACGGUCCAGACUCCUACGGGAGGCAGCAGUGGGGAAUAUUGGACAAUGGGCGCAAGCCUGAUCCAGCCAUACCGCGUGGGUGAAGAAGGCCUUCGGGUUGUAAAGCCCUUUUGUUGGGAAAGAAAAGCAGCAGGUUAAUACCCCGCUGUUCUGACGGUACCCAAAGAAUAAGCACCGGCUAACUUCGUG
rnacentral:rRNA from 1 species